rnacentral:rRNA from 1 species
UACGUAGGGUGCGAGCGUUGUCCGGAUUUAUUGGGCGUAAAGAGCUCGUAGGCGGCUUGUCGCGUCGUCCGUGAAAACCUGGGGCUCAACCCCAGGCUUGCGGUCGAUACGGGCAGGCUAGAGUUCGGUAGGGGAGACUGGAAUUCCUGGUGUAGCGGUGAAAUGCGCAGAUAUCAGGAGGAACACCGGUGGCGAAGGCGGGUCUCUGGGCCGAUACUGACGCUGAGGAGCGAAAGCGUGGGGAGCGAACAGG